AUCUCCAAGACACAAUAAUCAAAAUUGAUAACACCUACAUUUAAAUUCAAUUCUGGCCUAGGGUUCCGCCAGGCCGCAGAAAAAUGCUUCAACACCAGAUAGUACACUCUCCGGCGAGACUAGGCCUAACAAAUCCAAACUCACCCACUCCCCCCAAAUUCCCUACCACCUCCUCCUCAUCGUCACAACCACCGCCCCAACAGCAGCAGCAGCAUGCUUCGUCCUCCUCCACCUCCUCCGCCCUCCUCCCACUCCUCCCUCCUCUCCGUAGAGCUCAAACACUUCUCCUCCAAAUGGCAUCCCUAGCCUCCACCAUCUUCGAAGUCUCCCCUAACCGCGCUCUCUGGCUCUCCGCUUUCCGCGGCUCAUUACCUACAUUUCUCUCCUCUCAUACUCAAUCAAUUCCGCCGCUCGAAUACACUCCGACUUCCACUAAAGAAGCUCUUACUCUCUUCACUUCCCUCCAAACUCAGCUCUUCGAAGCCGUCGCUGAGCUUCAAGAAAUCCUUGACCUACAAGACUCCAGACAGAGACUCGCUCGAGAAAUCAAAUCUAAAGAUUCUGCUCUACUCAACUUCGCUAAUAAGCUUAAAGAAGCUGAACGGUUGCUCGACAUUCUCGUCGAUGAUUACUCCGAUUAUAGAAAAUCUAAACGAGCUAAGUCGAAGGACGUUAACCUAGACGACGAUGAGGAGGAGGAUGAUUUUGAAAACGACAAUUUGUAUGAUGUAAGCAGUAGUACUACUAUUGCUUCUCAGCUUAAUUUGUCUGAUAUUUUAUCUUAUGCUCAUAGGAUCAGCUACACUACUUUUGCACCUCCUGAGUUUGGAGCUGGGAACGCCCCGCUUCGUGGCGCGUUUCCUCCUGCGCCUCAGGAUGAGCAAAUGAGAGCUUCUCAAUUGUAUGCUUUUGCUGACCUUGAUGUGGGAUUGCCUAAGAUUGAAACUAAGGAGAAAUUUAUCGAGCCAAUUAUUGAACCUCCUCCGCCGCCUCAUCCAGCGGAGGCUAAUUCACUUGCUAAUUUGAGUGGUUUGCUUCCGCCUAAUAUCACUGUUCCGUCGGGAUGGAAACCUGGGAUGCCUAUUGUGCUCCCAAUGGACUUACCCCCGCCGCCUCCUGGAUGGAAGCCUGGGGAUCCUUUGCCAUUGCCUCCAUUGGAUUCUCUUCCUUUGCCUAGGAUGGCUGAGCAACAUUUGCAACCUGUUACUGGUCCUCAAGGAUUACCUAAGCCACCUGAGACUAUACAGGUUCGACAUGUGCAGAUUGAUAUUCUUGAUCAAGAUGACGAUAGUAGUGAUUAUAGUAGUGACGAGGGGAGCUCUGAUGAUCAAGAUUGAGAGGCUUUUGAAAAUGCUGUGCUACAGAUCUGUGGAUACGAAUUUUUCAAGUUGCUUACGUUCAUAGGCUCACUCGGUGCAGUGCGCAGACAUUAUGGAACAUUUGUUAAUACGUAUAUUUGACAAAAAGAAAGAUAAAGAUAAAAAUGAGAAAGGACAAAGAAGAAGGAAGGUAGGCCCAAAGAGGUGGGGGCCCAUACUUUUAGAGAGAGGUGCAAUGCAAUAAUAGAUAUUUUGGGAAGACUAGACGACGACGUGUACGGAUAUUGCCCAAUCAGCGCUUUUCUUCUUCAACCUAAGACACCACAUGCCUAUUUUUAUUACUGUUUUAUGGAUUUUUGUUGUGACCUACAUUUUUGGAACAAUUUCAUGUAAAUAUGUAAUAUCCCAGCAUUUAGGGUUGUAAUAAAUUUAAAAAUUGCAACUUUCAUGAACAAAACAAUUUCAAAGAUAA